AGUGAACGCUGGCGGUAGGCCUAACACAUGCAAGUCGAACGGCAGCACAGUAAGAGCUUGCUCUUACGGGUGGCGAGUGGCGGACGGGUGAGGAAUACAUCGGAAUCUACUUUUUCGUGGGGGAUAACGUAGGGAAACUUACGCUAAUACCGCAUACGACCUACGGGUGAAAGCAGGGGAUUUUCGGACCUUGCGCGAUUGAAUGAGCCGAUGUCAGAUUAGCUAGUUGGCGGGGUAAAGGCCCACCAAGGCGACGAUCCGUAGCUGGUCUGAGAGGAUGAUCAGCCACACUGGAACUGAGACACGGUCCAGACUCCUACGGGAGGCAGCAGUGGGGAAUAUUGGACAAUGGGCGCAAGCCUGAUCCAGCCAUACCGCGUGGGUGAAGAAGGCCUUCGGGUUGUAAAGCCCUUUUGUUGGGAAAGAAAAGCAGCAGGUUAAUACCCCGCUGUUCUGACGGUACCCAAAGAAUAAGCACCGGCUAACUUCGUG
rnacentral:rRNA from 1 species